rnacentral:sRNA from 2 species
GUUUUGCGCAAGGGAUAGCAGCGGCAUCCUUUUUAUUUUUGCACAAGCGUUAGUUGCUUCAAAAAUAAAAAGAUAUAGCGAAUAGCCCGACCUUUU